rnacentral:rRNA from 1 species
CCCUUAGACGUUCUGGGCCGCACGCGCGCUACACUGACACAGGCAACGAGCUUUACUUUACCGAAAGGUAUGGGUAAUCUUUUGAAACUGUGUCGUGCUGGGGAUAGAUCCUUGCAAUUUUUGAUCUUAAACGAGGAAUUCCUAGUAAGCGCGAGUCAUCAACUCGCGUUGAUUACGUCCCUGCCCUUUGUACACACCGCCCGUCGCUACUACCGAUUGAAUGGCUUAGUGAGGCCUCAGGAUCCGCGCUUAAUGUGUGGAGAAUUUGGACAAACUACGUCAUUUAGAGGAAGUAAAAGUCGUAACA